UCUUUUGCAAGGUAUCCUAGUAUAAUAAAAAUCAAGCCUUCGUGGAGCAGGUCAUGACCUUAUUACUAGUUAGAGACCUUCUCAAAUUGAUCUACUUGCCUUAACCAUAAAGGUAUCUAAAGGCAAGAUCAACAUACCUUUUGGUUUGGUAAGCCUAAUAUAUAUAUAUAAAAAAAAAUUAUAUGCAAUAGAGCAGUUUCUUUC
rnacentral:lncRNA from 1 species